GUGCUCGCUUCAGCAGCACAUACACUAAAAUUGGAAUGAUACAGAGAAGAUUAACAUGGCCCAUGUGUAAGAAUUACAUGGAAAUCCGUGAAGCAUUCCGUAUUUUU
rnacentral:snRNA from 1 species